GCCCUCAUCGUCUAGAGGCUUAGGACGCUUCCCUUUCACGGAGGCAACAGGGAUUCGAAUUCCCUUGGGGGUA
rnacentral:tRNA from 1 species